rnacentral:rRNA from 1 species
AUGGCCGCAGCUAUCCUGACUGUGCUAAGGUAGCAUAAUAAUUUGUCUUUUAAUUGAGGACUGGUAUAAAUGAGUUGACGACGAGCAGCCUGUCUCCUUUAGGACGUUUAAACUUACUUUUGAGGUUAAAAAGCCUCAAAACCCCAAAGGGACGACAAGACCCUAAAAACUUUAUUCCUUAUUUGGCACUCAAGAAAUACGACACCUAGGAAUUUAACUGGGGCGGUUAACAAAAACAAGAUUAAACAGAACACUUUGAGUGUAAUUUAAAUACAUGCUUCCAUACAUAAGAACUAGUUACUUUAGGGAUAACAGCGCAAUUUUUCCAGAGAGUUCAAAUCGGCGGAAAAGAUUACGACCUCGAUGUUGAAUUGAAGAUCCUCCUGUAGAGCAGAAGCACAGGAAGGGAGUCUGUUCGACUCUUAAACCUUCACAUGAUCUGAGU